rnacentral:rRNA from 1 species
AGGACGAACGCUGGCGGCGUGCUUAACACGUGCAAGUCGAGCGGUAAGGCUCCUUCGGGAGUACACGAGCGGCGAACGGGUGAGUAACACGUGAGCAAUCUGCCCUUCUCUUCGGAAUAACCAUUGGAAACGAUGGCUAAUGCCGAAUACGACCUCCUUUCGCAUGAUCGGAGGUGGAAAGCUCCGGCGGAGAAGGAUGAGCUCGCGGCCUAUCAGCUAGUUGGCGGGGUAACGCCCACCAAGGCGACGACGGGUACGCCGGCCUGAGGAGGGUGACCGGCCACACGUGGGACUGAGACACGGCCCAGCUCCGUACGGGAGGCAGCGAGUGGGAAUAGUGGACAG